GGAUGAACGCUAGCGGCGCGCCUUAUGCAUGCAAGUCGAACGGUUCCGACGCAAGUCGGGAUAGUGGCAAACGGGUGAGUAAUAGGUAGACAACCUGCCUUUAAGUGGGGGAUAACACUUCGAAAGAAGUGCUAAUACCGCAUGUGGUGCUCUUUCAUAAGAAGGAUCACUAAAACAGCAAUGUGCUUGAAGAGGGGUUUGCCUCCGAUUAGCUAGUUGGUGGGGUAACGGCCUACCAAGGCAAUGAUCGGUAGCUGGUCUGAGAGGAUGGUCAGCCACACUGGAACUGAGACACGGUCCAGACUCCUACGGGAGGCAGCAGCAAGGAAUCUUGGGCAAUGGGCGAAAGCCUGACCCAGCGACGCCGCGUGAGGGAUGAAGGCCUUCGGGUUGUAAACCUCUUUUCUCAGGGAAGAAUAAUGACGGUACCUGAGGAAUAAGUCUCGGCUAACUACGUGCCAGCAGCCGCGGUAAUACGUAGGAGGCGAGCGUUAUCCGGAUUUAUUGGGCGUAAAGUGGGCGUAGGUGGUCUUUCAAGUCAGAUGUGAAAUCUCCCGGCUUAACUGGGAGGGGUCAUCUGAUACUGUUGGACUUGAGUAUGGCAGGAGAAAACGGAAUUCCCGGUGUAGUGGUGAAAUGCGUAGAUAUCGGGAGGAACACCAGAGGCGAAGGCGGUUUUCUAGGCCAAAACUGACACUGAGGCCCGAAAGCGUGGGGAGCGAACAGGAUUAGAUACCCUGGUAGUCCACGCCCUAAACACUGGGUACUAGGUAUAGGGAGUAUCGACCCUUUCUGUGCCGAAGCUAACGCUUUAAGUACCCCGCCUGGGGAGUACGGUCGCAAGACUAAAACUCAAAGGAAUUGACGGGGGCCCGCACAAGCAGCGGAGCGUGUGGUUUAAUUCGAUUCUACACGAAGAACCUCACCAGGGUUUGACAUGUUAGAAGUAGUGAACCGAAAGGGGAACGACCUGUUAAGUCAGGAGCUAUCACAGGUGCUGCAUGGCUGUCGUCAGCUCGUGCCGUGAGGUGUAUGGUUAAGUCCUGCAACGAGCGCAACCCUUAUUGCCAGUUAUAUUCUCUGGCGAUACUGCCUCGCAAAACGGGGAGGAAGGUGGGGAUGACGUCAAGUCAGCAUGGCCCUUAUACCCUGGGCUACACACACGCUACAAUGGAUGGUACAAUGGGUUGCCACCGGGCGACCGGGAGCUAAUCCCCAAAACCAUCCUCAGUUCGGAUCGCAGGCUGAAACCCGCCUGCGUGAAGUCGGAGUUGCUAGUAAACGCGUGUCAGCAUAGCGCGUUGAAUACGUUCUCGGGCCUUGUACACACCGCCGUCACGUCAUGAAAGCUGGUAACACCUGAAGUCGAUGGGCUAACCCGCAAGGGAGGCAGUCGCCCAAGGUGGGACUGGUAAUUGGACGAAGUCGUAACAAGGUG
rnacentral:rRNA from 1 species